CUACGGGCGGCUGCAGUAGGGAAUAUUGGUCAAUGGGCGAGAGCCUGAACCAGCCAUGCCGCGUGCAGGAAGACGGCCUUCUGGGUUGUAAACUGCUUUUAUAUGGGAAGAAAAGGCCCUUGCGAGGGACAUUGCCGGUACCAUAUGAAUAAGCACCGGCUAACUCCGUGCCAGCAGCCGCGGUAAUACGGAGGGUGCAAGCGUUGUCCGGAUUUAUUGGGUUUAAAGGGUACGUAGGCGGCUAAUUAAGUCAGUGGUGAAAUCCCACAGCUCAACUGUGGAACUGCCAUUGAUACUGGUUAGCUGUAGUAUUGUUAAGGUAGGCGGAAUUGAUGGUGUAGCGGUGAAAUGCAUAGAUACCAUCAGGAACACCGAUUGCGAAGGCAGCUUACUGGGCAAUAACUGACGCUAAUGUACGAAAGCGUGGGGAGCGAACAGGAUUAGAUACCCGGGUAGUC
rnacentral:rRNA from 1 species